rnacentral:rRNA from 1 species
UGGGGAAUUUUGGACAAUGGGCGCAAGCCUGAUCCAGCAAUGCCGCGUGAGUGAAGAAGGCCUUCGGGUUGUAAAGCUCUUUUGUCAGGGAAGAAACGGUAGUCUCUAAUACAGAUUGCUAAUGACGGUACCUGAAGAAUAAGCACCGGCUAACUACGUGCCAGCAGCCGCGGUAAUACGUAGGGUGCAAGCGUUAAUCGGAAUUACUGGGCGUAAAGCGUGCGCAGGCGGUUAUAUAAGUCAGAUGUGAAAUCCCCGGGCUCAACCUGGGAACUGCAUUUGAGACUGUAUGGCUAGAGUGUGUCAGAGGGGGGUAGAAUUCCACGUGUAGCAGUGAAAUGCGUAGAUAUGUGGAGGAAUACCGAUGGCGAAGGCAGCCCCCUGGGAUAACACUGACGCUCAUGCACGAAAGCGUGGGGAGCAAACAGGAUUAGAUACCCUGGUAGUCCACGCCCUAAACGAUGUCUACUAGUUGUCGGGACUUAAUUGUCUUGGUAACGCAGCUAACGCGUGAAGUAGACCGCCUGGGGAGUACGGUCGCAAGAUUA